GACCGCAAAGGCAAUGUCUGGUC
rnacentral:siRNA from 1 species